CGCGGGGUGGAGCAGUUGGCAGCUCGUCGGGCUCAUAACCCGAAGGUCACAGGUUCAAAUCCUGUCCCCGCAA
rfam:Carnobacterium sp. CP1, complete genome.